GAUGAACGCUAGCGGCAGGCCUAACACAUGCAAGUCGAGGGGCAGCGAGGAGUGCUUGCACUCUGUCGGCGACCGGCGCACGGGUGCGUAACGCGUAUACAAUCUGCCUUAUACUGAGGGAUAGCCCAGAGAAAUUUGGAUUAAUACCUCAUGGUAUCAUAUUACCGCAUGGUAUUUAUGAUUAAAGGUUACGGUAUAAGAUGAGUAUGCGUCCUAUUAGUUUGUUGGUAAGGUAACGGCUUACCAAGACUACGAUAGGUAGGGGCCCUGAGAGGGGGAUCCCCCACACUGGUACUGAGACACGGACCAGACUCCUACGGGAGGCAGCAGUGAGGAAUAUUGGACAAUGGGCGAGAGCCUGAUCCAGCCAUGCCGCGUGCAGGAAGACGGCCCUAUGGGUUGUAAACUGCUUUUAUACAGGAAGAAACAUCCCCUCGUGAGGGGACUUGACGGUACUGUAAGAAUAAGGACCGGCUAACUCCG
rnacentral:rRNA from 1 species